CUGCAGCUCACUCAGCAACCGCUGUCCCUGGGACUCUCUACAGUGGAGCGCCCAGGGACCCUUUCAAGGGCGCCCCUAACACUGAGCUGCAAGGCAGGGGGUUAAAGGGGAAGCAGAGGUGCAGCGUGCAGGGAAGAAGGAGUUAGGGCGGAACUCAGCUGUGAGAACACAGCAGGUGGAGGCCACGGGGCCAGCACACGAGAGGCGCUGCCCUUUCCCCAGGGAAGACAGGCGAGGGGACAAGACCAGCAAGGGUGAGUCCGCUCCCCACUGCAGGGUCCGUGGUGGACCCCAUUUCGUCUCAAGGCCUGCCUCUGGGAGCCAUUCCGGUCUCCAAGCCUCCGCUGGGAGCGAAUUCUAAGAAUUGGCCAAAGGAAAAGCCCUGCAAAGGCUCGUAGCGUCCCAAGUCCUCGAGAGGAAUGCCUCAUUUCAACAUCUCAGCAAGUCUGGGAGGCCAUCCUCACCAUUUCAUAGGUGGGGCCGGUAAGGCGCGGGAAGCCUUACCACUCUGGAACCACCACCCCGGUCCCUCAGAGACAGAGGAAGGAUGCGAGGGGAAGUCUAGGCUCAUCUUGGCACUGCUUCCCCCAACUGCCAGGGAAGAGAGGCUUGAGCAGGCACCUGUCAUCUGUCUGCCAUAGCUCCAUCAAAGAGUAAUGUCUGGCCUGACCCCAAUGCCCAUCCAGGAUGACUGGAGGUGCUGCCCCAAGCACCAUCCUCUCCGAGUGCUCGGGGCUUCCCAAGAAUGUAACUAUGGUCGCAUAGCAAAAGUGAGCAAGGCUGCAGUGCAGCAGCCCAGAGAAAACACAACUGAACCUCAUCAAUCAAUUUCCAUCCCACCACCUUGACUUGACUGCAGGCUGCCUGGGAACCCCACACUUCUCCUCUCUUUCCAGAAGAAGCGGUCUCAGCGGAGUUGUUUCCUAACGUAGCACAUUUGUUGCAGACAGCUACAGAGAGCAAAAAUAUGCUAUGGGCCAUCCACUUAAAGGAAACAGGCACGGGUAUUGCUCAACCUGCCGAGUUCAGCCCUGGCUCAUGAACUCAGUUCCAUGCACUGCGUCUGCACUGGGGAUCCAUGUGCAGAGGGGCCAGAUCAAAACCCCGGACUCUGAAUACAUGGUCAGUGCACGAGAAAUGACUUCUCCCUACCAAUCGCCCUUCCUUACUCUUUCCUAUUCCCUGCUCCCCAAAUGCCUUCUAGUCUUGGCCGCAUUAAAUCUGUGAUUCUAGGCUGGGCGUGGUGGCUCACGCCUGCAAUCCCAGCACUUUGGGAGGCCGAGAUGGGCAGACCAGCUGAGGUCAGGAGUUUGAGACCAACCUGGCCAACAUGGUGAAACUCCGUCUCUACUAAAAAUACAAAAAUUAGCCAGGCAUGGUGGCAGGCAUCCAUAAUCCCAGCUUCUUGGGAGGCUGAGGCAGGAGAAUUGCUUGAACCUGGAAGACGGAGGUUGCAGUGAGCGAAGAUCGCACCACUGUACUCCAGCCUGGGCGACAAAGCGAGACUCUGUCUCAAAAAAUAAAAAUAAAUAAAUCUGCAAUUCUAACAUCCCCCACUCACUUCAUCCCACCCCAGCCCUCAUCCUCAGGGAAUCUUCUCUGUUCCUCUGAGAGAGUAAAAAUACUAAGGGUGGAGAGGAUUGGCCAGAGCCUCGGGGAAGGCCAGACCCCGUACUGACCCCCUCCUCAGGUGCUCCCUCAGCAACCUCUAACGUCAACAUCUCCUCUUCAUGGAACAGAUGAGACAACUGAGGCUCCGAGAGGUGAAGUCCUGUGUCUGGACUGGGCUGUGUGUUGGCGUGUGCCUUCCCACAAAUCCUGUGACCCACCUCACCACUCCAUGCUGCCCCAGAAACAUGGGGCAAUGAUUUGUACAGGAAUCCCAGCAAGCAGAGCUUCUUCUAGAACUAACCAGGAGCUCGGUGUCUUCCUCAGACACUCAUAGUCCUCUCGAGCAAUUCCCCAGGCUGGACUCUGACUCAAGCUUCAGACAUUAAGCACCUUUGAAAGGCUGGAAAGUCACAGUCUACUCAUAUGUCACCAGAAGGCCUGGGCAAAAAAAGGAGGUAGAGAAAUAACCCCGGGAAUGAAGCAGGGGUUCUGCCCUCCCAGGGCCUGAGAAUUAAAAACUGUUUCAAAUCCUUGUUUCGUUCCUCUAGGAAAAAUUAAAGAAUUAAGCGAGGGCCUGGAAAACAAGGCUAGCAGGAAGUCGGAGGAACUGACAAACAACUGGGAAGAUGAAGCUACCGAGGAUGGGCUGCAGGAGCCAAGAAGUUAGAAUCUGCAAGCCUGCGCCGAGUGCUCCAGUCAGCCAGCACUAGAUGAUUUACUGCUGAAUCCAGCCCCUCUAUGGACCAGCCUCCAAGUCACAUGGACCGUAAGGAAUGGUUUGAGACCAUCCCAAGAAAUAUUUGGGCAGCUCAAGAGAUGCAGAAACUGUUGCCCAUCCCCAUGUUUCAAGAACAAACAAGUAAAAGCUAAACCAGGGCCAAGCGCUCUGAGACUCGCUCCCCGCCACCCAGCCCUAGCCCAGUGUCCCCUGGACAGGGCUCAUGCCCUGCUGAGCCCCUGAUGCUGAAGUCAGGGGAGAAGGAGCCCGCCUCAUUGGCAGGGGUCAUUCCUCACUGUUCAGGCAGUAAACUAAGCCUUCUUGUCAUUUAUGGCUAUUUUGUCACCUUUACCAUUGUCAUCAGUGGCUGGCAAGAAUAUCCACAUUUCUCCUGUGUUGAUUUUGGAAUCCAACUCCUGGGGCAGGCGCUGAGGCACCCUGAGGAAAGGGCUGUGAUUGUCCAGUGCCAAAAGUGACCCACAAAGCAAAGUGUCUCCAAAGGACAGAGACCACAAUUGACUCAUUCUCAUUCAUACCCUUGAACCCAAGUACAGCAUCUGGAACACAGCAGGAGCUCAAUAAAUAAGUGUUGUAUGAAUGGAUGGAUAGAACAAGAAAAGUCCAGGCCCUUUCAUUCAUUGUAUUAUAAGCUUGCAAGCUUAAUUAGUACAAUUAAAAUACAUAAGCAAUAUCUUAGUUUCUUUAAUAAUUCCCCUUAAUUUACACGCUCUCUUUAUUUGAGUAAGUUCCCCAGGUGUUUGAAGAAUGUUAUUAGAAUUGGACAGUCCCUGUGUUGGAGACAGGGCCAUUGAAGCUGGUAUUUCUUCUCCCUUCCCUUCCUUCCUCCCUUCCUUUCUUUUUUUUUUUCUCCAAGAUGGGGUCUUGUUCUGUCCCCAGGGUGGAGUGCUGUUGCAUGAUCAUGGCUCACUGCAGCCUCAACCUCCUAGGCUUAAGCGAUCCUCCUGCCUCAGCCUCCUAAGUAGCUGGGACACACCAC
rnacentral:lncRNA from 10 species